UAAAAGAAUUUUCACGUCGACUGUUCUAUUUUCCAUUUUCAUUUUGAAAGUCAAUUAGGUAAAUGGAAAGAUGAAUAGAAGCUAAAAUUAAGCUAGUAAAAUAAACCAUUGAAAUAAAAUAACCGUCACUUGCUUUAACAACCCCUGCAAUGAAAUUUAUCUACUAAACUUACCCUAUGUCGCCCAAACCCUAAAUUCAAAAAAAACAAUUAGAACUAGGUAUAUGAAUUUUGCUGCCAAAAUAUUAAAUUAUAUAAUUUAUCAAACCGACCGUGAAAAAAUAAAUUUUAGUGCGCCCAUGACAUGCCAAGCUCAAACAGCAAUGCUCAAUGACAUCUGAAUUUGACAAGUCAGUUAAAUUCAGAUGUCAAUGUCAACCCAAUAAAACAAUAAUAUAAUUCACCUUGAGAAAUUAUUAUUAUUUUUUAACUAAUAUUUAUUGGAAAACUUCAACACAAAUUAUUUACUAAAUAAAACUGAUGAAAAUCUCAUAACUUCAUUCAAGUUCGCAUAUAUUUUGCCAGUGUGGCCUUUGUUUUGUGUACUUAGAAUGAUUACAAGGUAUGAUUUGUUUUCAUCCUGGUCAACAAUUUAACAGCUAUGGGACCCAUUUGUUGUAGGAGAAGAAUUGCAUGUUUUAACUGCUGAUUAGACUACACAACCAGAAAUAAAUAAGCUAAAUGAAGUAUGUUAGGAUACCCCAGAGAUCAUGAAAUGUGUUUGAUAGGGCUCAGACCAUGCACUUAAGGACAUCCGUCAAGAAAUCAUUGAGAUUCUACCAUAUUGAUGAAAUUGGGAAACCAGGAAGAACUGCCUGUCUUUACUGUUGGUUAGAGUACACAGCCAGAAAUAAAUAAGCUACAGGAAGUAUGUUAGGAUUCCCGAGAGAUCAUGAAAUGUGUUUGAAGGGAUAUGAAUCAGCUUUUUUGUUAUCUUGAAUAGGCAAAAUGGCACGAGAAUCUUCCAACUGGACCCAAAGUCUCUAUUUUUGGUUAGAAAAUAAAACUUAUUUAAUGUUUAUGUUCCAUGACCUGUUUAUUGUUUUAUUAAAUUUUGUCAUACAGUUAUUUAGUUUUAAUAAUUAAAGAGAAAGUUGU